rnacentral:lncRNA from 1 species
GAAAUGAGGCUCCGAAACAUGUGGCUUUCAAACCGGGGGAACUGAUCAUGGACCCUAAACCAUCGGGCUACUACUCAGGGGAGUCCGACUUCUCUUCAGACGACAUCUGUUGGUCGGACUCGGAUGAUAGCAGAUGAAGCCCAUCCCCCCGCCCCGCCCGCUGCCCAGCAAAGGAUGGUUUUUCGUUGUUGAUCGAUUUUGAUGCGUAUUGGGACUGAGCAUAUGGGUACUCACUGCAAUGCCAAAGUUUAAGAUUAGUUUAUUUCCAUUUAAGAAACGUUAUGAUUUGAUUGAAUAAGUGCCAUAUUUUCACCAUCUACUAUUACAUGCAGAACUUCUACCACCUUGCUACUCAAAGAAAGUUUACUUCAUUUUAUUUUUAAAAACCAUGCAGUUUGUAUGUAGGCUUAUUUCGUUCUACAGAAUUUUCUAUUAUUUUUUGUAAGAUGAUUAUUCAUUCCAGAUACCUCAUUAUCGUUCAAUUUCUACCCUAGAAUUGUAAAGAAAAUUAUUUAAUCAUUAGCAUGAUUCAAUUAUGGUUCAUGAUCAAUAGAUUUAUUUGAGACAAUUAUCAAUAUGAUUUUUUCGUUGUGCAGGAUAUUUUAUUUGAAACACUUUGUAGUAUCUUAUUUUUAUUUUAAACUUGUAAAUAAAAUUAGAUACACUCAAUAAUUAUUAUUUUUCAAAUAUUAAUGAUCUGUAAAAUUUGUAUUCAUUUGAAUGCGUUGGCUAUUCAUUAGGCUUAUUCAUUAUUUUAAACUUUUAAAUAAAAUUAGAUACAUUCAAUAAUUAUUAUUUUUCAAAAUAUUAAUGAUUUGUAAAAUUUGUAUUCAUUUGAAUGCGUUGGCUAUUCAUUAGGCUUAUUCAUUAUUUUUCAAAUAUUAAUGAUCUGUAAAAUUUGUAUUCAUUUGAAUGCGUUGGCUAUUCAUUAUUUUAAACUUGUAAAUAAAAUUAGAUACACUCAAUAAUCAUUAUUUUUUAAAUAUGAAUGAUCUGUAAAAUUUGUAUUCAUUUGAAUGCGUUGGCUAUUCAUUAGGCUGUUCCAUUUUCACAUUACAUUGUGAUAGAUUUUCAUAAUGUUAUUGCAUUAGCUACUAGAAUGCACGAACCAUACACUAUAUUGAAAAUGUUCUGCCAGUUUUGUGUAUUUAAUGUUCUUUUUUGGAUGAAUAAGUUGUUUGGAUGUGAGUAUUAGUUUAUUUGAUAAUUUUUUACAAAACUUUUGAUCUGUAAACUUCUGUUCUUCGUAAUUUAUGAUCUCUUACAUGAAUGUACGGUCCACGGUACAUGAAUGUUGUUGCACUCAUUUCUUGGCUCUGUCUUUGAAAUUUGUUUUCUACCGGUAUAAGUAGAUUUAAGUAGUCACUAGUUGUGAAGGAGAAUGGAAGGAUACUUAUAAUCUGAAUGUAGAUUUAUUUAACUGGAAUUAUAAUCAUCAAUGAGUCAGUAGUUAUUAAGGAAAGUAAAGUCAAGACUUGAAUGCAGAUUUAAGCAUUCAAUUCAAAUGGAUUUCUUCAAAUUAUCAGUGUUGGUGUUGAUGUUUCAUCUUAAUAUUUGUAUUUAUUUUAUUCACUGUGAUUUGUUGGCAACUUGAUGAUAAUUGUGAUUUGAUUGAAUACUGUUUGGUAAUAUUAAGAUAGAAUUGUUGAAUGCUUUUUAGUGAUAGUGUGUUAGUAGAGGGUGAUGAAUUGAGUUGCUACUGUUUGAUUUUAUGCACUAUCUGAUAAUUUAGAUUGAAUAUUAGUAGAGUUUUGAAACUCUAGUUUCAAAAGUCACUUAGUUUGUGGUUAUUUUGUUUAUUUUAAUUGAACGUUUGUUUAGAAUUUCAGUGUAAAUCGAGCGCUAAAAUUGAUCUACUAAAUUUAUCACUGGUUUUUGACAUUCAGCAAAUAAUCUAUUUUUAUGAGCAAUUUACAUAAAAUCAACAAAAAAUUUUUAUUGUAGUCGUGUAGUCGGCUACUAGAUAUUAAGCACCUUGUUUGCAGUAAGGUAUCAAGCUGACAAAAUAUAAUAUUGAAAAAUCAUUUUCAAUACGAAAAAAUAUAUUUCUAUUAAAAUUCGACUGUUCGAGAACCGUAUUUGAUUUUGUUAUAAAAAUGUUAAACAAUCUACAUAAAAUCAACAACACUGUUUCAAUGUAGUCGACUACUGUAUAAGCAGCUUGUUUGUAGUAAGGUGCUGACAAAAUAUAAUAUUGAAAAAUCAUUUUUAAUACGAAAAAAUAUAUUUCUAUUAAAAUUCGACUGUUAGAGUAUUUAAUUUUGUUUAAAAAAUGAUAUAAUUAUUUGUUAUAUUAUACAGUAGCUCACUUGAAAUGGUUUUAUACUUUUAUAUGAAGAAAUAUAACAGUGUUGCAAAUAUUGAACAAUCGUUUUUCAGCAAAUAAUUUCUUCUGAUGAACAAGUUACAUAAAAUCUUCAACACUGUUUGAAUGUAGUCGGCUGCUGUAUAAGCAGCUUGUUUACAGUACAGAGACUAUAUAACUGUUUAUAUAGUUACUGUAGUUUACAGUAAGGUAUCAAGCUGACAAAAUAUAAUAUUGAAAUACAUUUUUAAUACGAAAAAAUAGAUUUUUUAUUAAAAUUCGACUGUUAGAGUAUUUAAUUUUGUUAUAAAAAUGAUAUAAUUAUUUAUCAUAUUAUACAGAAGUUCACUUUUAAUGAUUUUAGAAAUGGUUUUAUACUUUUAUAUGAAGAAAUAUAACACUGUUGCAAACA